rnacentral:tRNA from 13 species
AGGCUCAGUUGGUAGAGCGUCGCUUUUGCAGUGUUGGGACGCGGGUUCCAUCCCCA